CAUAGCAAUAAAAUUGAAGUGGUUCCACCAAAAGCUGAGAAGAUACCAUGCUGGAUGAUCUCCAAGGGAGUGUAUCAUACUCGCAUGUUUCAACAACUUCAGUGGCAUGGCCAAAGAGCACUAUAUAUUCGAAGUGAUAGUAUUAAUUUCGCAUUGCAGUAAUUAUCUUUUGUGUUGAAGUUUCUAUAUAUGUUAUUGCCGUUGUGUUAUGAUAUUAAUUAAUAAUCUCUUUUAGUUUCUAUAUAUGUUAUUGCUGUUAUGUUAUGAUAUUAAUUAAUAAUCUCUUUUAGGCACUGUUGCCAUGAAAAUGAAUUGAGUGUUGAUGCA